UUUAGCAGUCUGACCAUAAAAGGCAGAGAUGUACGUGAUGGCGUCUGGCCCUCUUUUACAAGAUAUGAGCCAAUGCAGCCGUGUGGAAGUUGAGAGCUACAUGCUUUGAUUAUUAAAUGUUUCCAUUUAACACAGGGCAAUAAUAAGUGAAAAAAUCUGGAGGAAGAAUGCUUUCAAUGAUGUUAAACUGCGGUCUCCAGUUAUUGCAUCUUAUAUUAGGCAUGGAGGUACUUCCUGUGGACAGUUUCUCACCUGCCUUUUGCAAGAGUGAAGAGGAUGACCUGGGAAUGGAGGAAUCCUGUUAGCAGAAAGAAGGCAUGAGAGCUGAGAGGAUCUGGACCUUGAGAGAGGGAGGCAGAAAGGCUGGAGUCAGAAUGGAAAAUGGAGAUGUAAAGAACUGCCCAACUUUGUGGAUUGGCUACAAGUGUUGUCUUUGGUGUGAGACCUAAGGAGCAACUGACUGAACUGGACCUUUGGGAUUGGGAGUAACCUGAAUAUUGCUGGUCUGUGCUGGAAGGGACCAUCUAUCAGAAAGGCAGGCUCACCUGGAUGGUAAGACAGAUCAGAAUACCCAGGGGGACUGUCUAUGCCUCCAUGUUCGGGCUGUUACAGUGACUGAGGAGUUCACAUUUGAUAUUUGGCUGGUGAAAUCUAAGUGCAGGACUCACAACCAAUUUAGCGUUUGUGCUCUGCUCCUUAUCUGUCUGCUCUCAUGCUCUUGAA